rnacentral:misc_RNA from 1 species
UCUCCGUUGGUGAACCAGCGGAGGGAUCAUUACCGAGUUCCAGCAACUCCCAACCCUUGCGAACCGUACCCCAGUCUGUUCUCGUUGCUUCCGGCAGGCGGGGGGGGCCACCUGGCCCCUCCCCCUGCCGGGGGCGGCGGGCCCUCUGAACCUUUACAUCUCAACCACUGAAACCCGUCUGAGCAAAACAAAAAAUAAUCAAAACUUUCAACAACGGAUCUCUUGGCUCUG